rnacentral:rRNA from 1 species
GACGAACGCUGGCGGCGUGCUUAACACAUGCAAGUCGAACGAAGAGCGAUGGAAGCUUGCUUCUAUCAAUCUUAGUGGCGAACGGGUGAGUAACGCGUAAUCAACCUGCCCUUCAGAGGGGGACAACAGCUGGAAACGACUGCUAAUACCGCAUACGAUCUAACCUCGGCAUCGAGGAUAGAUGAAAGGUGGCCUCUAUUUAUAAGCUAUCACUGAAGGAGGGGAUUGCGUCUGAUUAGCUAGUUGGAGGGGUAACGGCCCACCAAGGCGAUGAUCAGUAGCCGGUCUGAGAGGAUGAACGGCCACAUUGGGACUGAGACACGGCCCAGACUCCUACGGGAGGCAGCAGUGGGGAAUCUUCCGCAAUGGACGAAAGUCUGACGGAGCAACGCCGCGUGAGUGAUGACGGCCUUCGGGUUGUAAAGCUCUGUUAAUCGGGACGAAAGGCCUUCUUGCGAAUAGUUAGAAGGAUUGACGGUACCGGAAUAGAAAGCCACGGCUAACUACGUGCCAGCAGCCGCGGUAAUACGUAGGUGGCAAGCGUUGUCCGGAAUUAUUGGG